rnacentral:misc_RNA from 1 species
UUAGUCUACCGCGAGAGUUUCAUGCGAGAACAUGGUCGUGGAUUGUAACUGAAGGUCUUCUCAACCAUCGCUUUAACCAUGCUUUCAAGACGUCGAAGAAAUUCCGGUUUUCCUCAUAAUAACGAUCUUUUGUUGGUUGGCUGUGCGAUCGUGGUGCAUUUCGAUUGAUUGAGAUGCUUCGAAGAUUUUCCCCAAAUGAUUUAGUUUCGAAAAAGUGAUUUUACCAAUGUGGUCUUUUAAUGGAUUGAACCCUGGAAAAUUAGCCUUGGAUAAUAACGUUUGACGGGUUUUCUGCAGUAAUGAAGAGGAAAUAAUAUAAUUUGUGGUGAAGUCGAGCAAAUAAUAGAUAGUUGAUGCAUUUAACUAGCGAAAAUCGACAAGAAAAUUCGAAACGAUUAUAGUGAAAUUAAAUCUUAGUUUCUAUACUAGAUUAUCUAAGAGUGGCCUUAGUUUAAAAAGAGAUUGAACGCCCUGUUUACCGAUGAUUUCUUCAUUUUGUUUCUGUGCAGACAUUAACUGCUUUGCCUCGAAGAAUGAUAGAUACAUUUUUGCGUUAAAAUCAAGGUUAGGUGGUCCCAAUGCUGGAGGUGGAGAUAUGUUCUGCUAUGAACAACUUAAUAUGACAUUUAUACAGAGUUCUUGGUUUAGUUAGAACAAAAAAUUUCCCGGAAACCAGAUCGAAAUGCAAAAGAUAGGAUCGAAUCCUCGAAAAUAUAAAAAUUGCCGUCACGAAGCAUUCACUCCUUCAACAAGUCCAGUUAGUCAUUACGAUGGCGAAGAUAUUCCCAGUAUGGAAUUACUGAAGAUCAACUACGUGAAAUCCAGCAAAUCCAAACGAAACUCGUAUUCAGAUGAUCGUCCAAGAUCGGAGGACCAGACGAAACCAAGCCUGUACAAAUAUGCAGUCUAUAAGAAACUCAACCGGUCCAGCCACCAGUUGGACGCUCAAGAAUUUUUCCGACAAUGUAGCGCUAUGGAAGGGAUAUCGUCGGACCCAAAGGGUGCGCCUCAGAAGCUCCGAAGGUCAAACUCUCAUCACGACAGUGAUGAUGAAGCAAAUGACAAUAGCUGGAAUUGUGAGUCCCAGCUAGCAGCUCUUAGCCAGGUGACUACCCGCGCGAACCGACUGGAGAAGAUACAGAAAUCAAGUCCUGUCCGGCCUCGCAGCUACCACCAGCACCGCAGAUGUACAAGUCCAGAUGAUGACUCUACUGACUUAACUCGGAUAAGUCAACGGUUUGAGCAAGUCUAUCGCAGCAGGUGCAAUUCACCUGUUUCUCGCGAUCCUAUCAAGUUCAAGAGCUUUGUGGAUGAUCAUCCUCAAGAUCGAAGCACUUCCAGUAGCAACAAAAAAGAACAGACGGCACACACGCAAAACCAUCAAAAGCGAGCAGACGAGAUGAAUUCAAGAAUGAAUACCAAAAUCAGGCAAAUGUUCGAUUUUGAUCACUCUCGGUCCACACAAUCGAGAUCGCAAUCAAUAGAUCGAAGCCAAUCACCAACAGCAGCAGCGAAAAAGCACAAUAAAUGCAGCCAAAACCAUGAAAGCAAUAAAAGAAAUAAACAAAAGCAUGUUAAAUCGAAAGCAAUUAUCGAAUCACCGUUCGAUCGACGAUCGAUGAUCAAUCAACAGCAGCAAAGCGAAAUUGGGAAUAAGAAAGCAGUUGCUUCGGGUAACCAUAUCACGUUGAACGUUGCUACGGAUGGAGUACGAGGAGCCUCAUCAUCAGCAAAAUCAGCAAGAUCACCAACAAGGUCACCAGCUCGCUCAGAAAAUCCAGUGCGAUCAGGUCGCCAUCUUCCCACUGCCAUUUUAGAACCUGUUUGCAAACACGAUCAACCAUCAGUAACGGGUUCGUGUGGUUACAAAAAUUGCAACAUCAAUAAUUGUCCCAUGUCCCAUUCAUCACAACCACCAUCUCGGGCGACUGAUGAGUGCCAGAGGAUCGGCCAGAGCAAGAACAAUAAAGACAGCAAUUCCUCCAGGAACAAGUGUAGGAAGUCAUUGAAUUGCGACAAUGACAAUAUCAGGAUGAAUUCCAAGAACAACAGCCACAGUAGCAAGUCAGUUUCAUCGGGUCACGCGAAUAAUGGUAGUUUAAUAAUCGACUUCGAUAGUCCCCACGAGAAAAGCACGAAAAUAACGGUCAAGUUGGGUGGUGAUGAAGUGAAAGAAGUGACGUCAUCGACAACUAAUAAUCGUGUUAAUAACAGUGCAAAAUCGAAAGGUAGUGAUCGUAACGAUGUACAAAAUUUCAGUGGUAAAAAUCUCACGAAAAUUUCAACGGAUGAACUGCUGCGCGCCCACAAAACAUCUACGAAUCUGAAUCUAAACAAUGCAAUCAUCCAAAGUGCUGUUAGCAACUCGCAGAAAGUCAAUGUGAAUUUCAGAAAUAUCGAAAAUCGGAAAUUCAAUGAUCUUCGAUCCAUCAAUGAUCACCAGUCGAACUCAUCGAACAAUCAUCGUUUGAAGAUUUUCGUGCAGAGCUCAUCAGUCUCUACAUCAUCGAAUGUAUCAUCGAUGAGUAGUGCAUCAGAUGUAUCAUCACUGACUGACUCCGAAAGGGAUUAUUCGUUUUUCGACUCGGAAAGGCUUCAAGGCAGUGUGAUAUCAGUUGAGGGUGGUUGUGGUGGUGGUGAUGGGUGUGAUGAUGCCGAUUGUGGAGCUGAGAGUGGGAUAUCUUCAUCGAGUGAUUUCUUAAGGAAUAGAAAUCGGGAUGGAUCGAGCUCUUAUUGUGGCAGUGGUAAGGGUAGUGGUGGAGCUGUACGAAACAAUAGUGGAUAUACGGCGUCAAAAUUGGGAUGCGAUGGUGCAAUAUUUUGGAAUAAUUGUUAUUAUUACGACGAGAAAUGCGCAUAUUGUUCAAUGUCGAGCGGUGACAAUGACGACGAACGAACUGAAUCAUUCGUAUGCGUCUGUUCCGGUAAACAAGAGAUGGAUGUACAUGACACACGGCCGAGAUCUAUGGAUGGAGUCCUCGAUUCCGGUAUAUCGUUGAAUGGCGAUACCGGUUCUAGUCCCGAUAGUGAUAUUUCAGCGCAACAUCUCCAAAAUCAACCGGACACUGAAGCCAGACGUCUUAAAAGGGGCCAUGUUUUGACGGAAUUGUUGGAAACUGAAAGAAUCUACGUUACAGAGAUGGCUUCCAUAUUGAGAGGGUAUCGAGAUCAAAUGGUUUCCGAAGAAAUGGCCUCGCUUGUGCCACCUAGUCUGCAAGGAAAGGAAGACAUUUUGUUUGGAAAUUUACAUGAAUUGUACAAAUUUCACAGUGAAGUGUUUCUAAAAGACUUGGAAAAUUGUAUUUCGACAACGGAGUUGGUCGCAUUGUGUUUUGUACAGAGGCGUGACACAUUUUAUCGGCUAUAUUCAUUCUAUUGCCAAAAUAUCCCGCGCUCGGAACGAUUACGAGAGACCCUUGUCGAUGCCCAUCUUUUCCUGCAAGAAUGCCAAAAACGUCUCGGACAUAAACUUCCACUUGCAGCUUAUCUCCUGAAGCCAGUACAACGAAUCACAAAAUAUCAAUUACUUCUUAAGGAUCUAUUAAGAUUUAGCGAUAGCGGAACAUGCACCAAAGAAUUACAAAAAGCUCUCGAUUGUAUGUUAAUUGUAUUGAAAUGUGUUAACGACUCGAUGCAUCAAAUUGCGAUAACAGGAUUCCCAUCUGAUCUAUCACAGCAGGGUGAAUUGUUAUUACAAGAUUCAUUUCAAGUUUGGACAGAAAGUAAAAAGGAUAUUAGACUAAGGUUGAAGACCCAACAGAGGCAUAUAUUCUUAUAUCAGAAAGUGAUGUUGCUCUGUAAACAAGGAUCAAAAACUGGACAUAAUAAAAGCACGUACCAAUAUAAACACCAUGUGAAUAUGUCCCAAAUUGGUUUAACUGAAUCAGUUCGCGGCGAUCCAAAACGCUUCGAAGUGUGGCUGCAAGGUCGUCAAGAAGUUCACACUAUCCAAGCGCCUAGUAUUGAGAUUAAAAACAAAUGGGUGACCGAAAUAAAGAAGGUCCUACUGAAUCAACUUGAAGAACUCAAGGGUGAAAAUAUAAAACAGUACGGACUCAACCAUAAACCACUUCGGCACACAACUUCUUGGGACACACCUUGCGCUGCAAUAAUGACAACUCAGAGAGCAAUGAGUUGCGAUACAAGUGAUAUUAAUCGCCAUUCAAAUGGAAGCGAUGAUGGUGCGCCAUCCACUCCUGGAAUGGGGUCACUUUCAUCAGAACGAGAUAGCCAGGAUGCUGGUGGCUGGAGCUCCGACUACUCAAAUAGUGAAGAUGAACUAUCGAUCAUUGAAGAUAGCAGUACGCCGACGGUCCUAAACUUCCUUGCACAGUGGGCUGUAGAUGGUGGUUCGUGCACCCGUACAACAAAAUCAAAUUCUACUUUUUAUGUUUCCGUCGAAUAACCAAAAUUGGAUAAAAAAAUCAAAUAUAUUUCCGUUGCCAAAAGUAACCAAAUAAAACGAGUCCAAAAUCAAAAAGAAAAUUCUGAUCACUAUAUAUCGAAAAUUUCAAUUGAAUAUUCUACUACUAAAAGGAGGAAGAUAAAUCUAUGAGAAAUUCACGAAAUUCACACAAAAGCAGUUCUGAUAACGAACUCAAAUUUUUUAUGUCGCUUUUUAAAUCAAUGAUGAGUAAAUGUAAAAAGUAGACACGAUUGUAAUACGUUGUUGUCUGCUGGAGAAGCGAAUUCCUAUUUCUUCCGGCAGUAGAUUUAUUGCUUUAGCGGAUUACUGCGCAGUUGGUCAUUCUGAAGUUUCAAUGAAAGAAGGUGAAACCGUUGAACUUCUUAAGAUUGGGUGCGCCGGCUGGUGGUUUGUAAGAGUAUUAGGUAAUA